UACGUAGGUGGCAAGCGUUGUCCGGAUUUACUGGGCGUAAAGAGCGCGCAGGCGGUCGUUCAAGUCGGAUGUGAAAGCCCCCGGCUCAACUGGGGAGGGUCAUUCGAUACUGAUCGACUCGAAGGCAGGAGAGGGAAGCGGAAUUCCCGGUGUAGUGGUGAAAUGCGUAGAUAUCGGGAGGAACACCAGUGGCGAAGGCGGCUUCCUGGCCUGUUCUUGACGCUGAGGCGCGAAAGCUAGGGGAGCAAACGGG
rnacentral:rRNA from 1 species